GUCUGAAGAGAGGCGUCCAUGUUCACACCAGGAGGUGAAAAGAAGCUGGAGCCACAGUGAUGAGUGAGACCUACGUGAAGAGGCUGUCCACCAUCCUGCUGGACGCCAUCACUGACAAGGACCCUCGGGUGCAGGAGCAGGUAUGUGGCGCCCUGUGCGCCCUCGGAGAGUCGCAGCCAGCGGAGGUGCUUAGCGCCUGUGAGGAGCACCUGCGGCUGCACGAAAAGCUAGCUCAUCCAUACCGGACAAUGAUCCUAAGGGCCAUGGAGAUAGUCGUGAGCGAUCACAUCGGCGAGCUGGACAAGGACAUGGCCAGGGCCAUCAUCCUCCUGGCCUCCAAUGAGAUGACCAAAGUGAAGGAGCUGGUCUCUGAUUGGCAGCAAGCCGCCAGCAGCGUCCUGGUGGCGGUGGGGAGGCGGUUCAUCAGCAGCGUGAUGGAGGAGCUGCUGAGCAAGUUCCAGCCCGGGCUCCUGCCGCACCCCUGCACCAUGCACACACUCGCCAGCCUCUCCGUCUCCAAUGUGUUUGGCAUGGUGCCCUUCCUGACGUCCAUCCUCAGCACCAUGCUGCCCAUGCUGGGCGCAGCCAAGCACGACUCAAUGAAAGUGGUGUUCUGCUGUGCUCUGCAGCGCUUCAGUGAGAGCACCCUGGAGUACCUGGCCAACCUGGAUCAGGCCCCAGACCCCACAGUCAGAAAGGACGCCUUUGCCUCAGACAUCUCUGGUGCUUACGACAUCCUUUUCCACCAGUGGCUACAGAGCCGGGAAGCGAAGCUGCGGCUCGCAGUGGUGGAGGCCCUGGGGCCCAUGAGCCACCUGCUCCCCAGCGAGAAGCUGGAGGAGCAGCUCCCCAAGCUGCUGCCCGGCGUGCUCGCCCUCUACAAGAAGCACGCCGAGACCGUCCACGUGUCCAAGAGCCUCGGCCAGAUCCUGGAGGCAGCCGUGAGCGUGGGCAGCCGCACUCUGGACGUCCAGCUUGACUCUCUCCUUGUCGCUCUGCACACUCAGAUCUGCGUGCCUGUGGAGUCAUCCAGCCCACUGGUGAUGAGCAACCAGAAGGAGGUGCUGCGCUGCUUCACGGUGCUGGCCUGCUACUCGCCGGACCGCCUGCUGGCCUUCCUGCUGCCCAAGCUGGACACCAGCAACGAGAGGACCCGUGUGGGCACCCUGCAGGUCCUGAGGCACGUCAUCAACGCGGCGGCUGCUCAGAUGGAAGUUAAGAAACCCUUCAUUCUUUCCUCCAUGAAGCUCCCUCUUCUGGACACCAACAACAAGGUGAAGCGGGCAGUGGUGCAGGUGGUCAGCGCCAUGGCCCACCACGGCUACCUGGAGCAGCCUGGCGGCAAGGCCAUGGUCGAAUACAUCGUGCAGCAGUGCGCUCUGCCCCCCGAGGCUGAGACUCAGAAGCCGGGUGCGGACAGUGAGGCCCUGGCGGCCGACAGCGUGCGGGCCAUCAGCGUCAGCACCCUCUACCUGGUCAGCACCACCGUGGACAGGAUGGGCGAGUGCACCUCCCGUCUCCCUACGCCAUCACCACCAGACUCCUGGUCGUAUCUUCCAAUCCCUAUGUGGGGGACGGUCGUGGAGCAGCCUCACUGCGCCUCCGCGACCGCCAUCCCCCUGCUGCUGGAACACCUGGACGAAUACAGUGAAGAAACCCUGCCACAGGAGGAGUGGGAAGAAAAGCUGCUGAUGUUUCUCCGGGAUUCCCUGGCUGUCGUGUCUGACAACACCUGGGUCUGCCAGCUGACCCUGGAAAUGUGCAAGCAGCUACCCAACUACAACGGGAUGCCCCUGGAGAAGAACUUCCUGUACAAAUGUGUCGGGACCACCCUGGGUGCCGCUUCAAGUAAGGAGGUGGUGAGGAAGCACCUGCAGGAGCUGCUGGAGACGGCCAGAUACCAGGAGGAGAGGGAGCGUGAGGGCCUUGCCUGUUGCUUUGGGAUCUGUGCCAUCUCCCACCUGGAUGACACCCUGGCCCAGCUGGAAGACUUUGUGAAGUCAGACGUGCUCAGAAAAUCUGCCGGCAUUUUCAGCAUUUUUAAGGAUCGGAGUGAGAGUGAGGCCGACAGAGUGAGGAGCGCGCUGAUUCUGUGCUACGGGCACGUGGCGGCCCGGGCCCCGCGCGAGCUGCUGCUGGCCAGGGUGGAGGCAGACGUGUUUCGGAACAUGUCCCAGUGCUUCAGCACCAAGGUUCUGGGGAUAAAGGUAGAGACCAAGGACCCGGCCCUGAGACUGAGCCUGGUGCAGAGUGUGUGCAUGGCCACCCAGGCCAUCUGCAGCAGCGCCCACGGCGGCUCCUUCCACCUCUUGAGGAAGGCGGAGCUGGUGGCGCAGAUGGUGGAGUUCAUCAAAGCGGAGCCCCCAGACUCGCUGAGGACGCCCAUUCGGAAGAAGGCCAUGCUAGCCUGCAUGUACCUGGUUACCCUGGAGCCGGCCCUGGAGGAGCAGGUGCAGGCGGACCUGAUUCACAGCUGCCUGCACAGUGUCAUGGCCGUGCUGCCUGAACCAGAGGAGGGGGACAGCCUCCAGGAGCUAUCAGUGGCCCCCACGGUGGCCCUGUCCAGGGGUGGGGGGUCACAGCAGGACUGGCAGCUUCUCUUCUUCCAGUCCCUGUACCUGGACACCAUGCAGGCCCUCAAGGACUUGCUGACGAGCCUCCUUCAGCGGAACAUGACGCCCCAGGGUCUGCAGGUCAUGGUGGAGCACCUGAGCCCGUGGAUCAAGUCCCCGAAGGGCCACGAGCGGGUGCGGGCGCUUGGCCUGAGUGCCUGCCUGCUGCAGUUCUUCCUAGAACACCUGCAGAUCAGCGCCCUGGUGCCCUUCCACAACCUGGGCCUCCUCGUUGGCCUCUUCUCCCCACGGUGCGCCGACCUCUGGCCUGCCACUCGCCGAGAGGCUGUGAGCUGCGUCCACUCCCUGCUGUACCUGCAGCUGGGCUAUGAGGGCUUCUCGCGAGACUACCGGGAUGACGUGGCUGAGCAGCUCCUCAGCCUCAAGGAUGGCCUGGUGCACCCUGACCCUGCCAUUCUCUUCCAUACCUGCCACAGCAUCGCCCAGAUUAUCGCCAAGCGCCUCCCACCAGAUCAGCUCAUCAGCCUCUUGCUAACCUUGUUUGAGGGCCUGGGAGAUCCUGACAAGAACUGCUCGCGAGCCGCCACUGUCAUGAUCAACUGCUUGCUGAAGGAGCGGGGCAACAUGCUGCAGGAGAAGGUGCCCGAGAUUGUGAGCGUGCUGCGCUCGAAGAUGCAGGAGACCCGAGAGGAGCACGUCCUACAAGCUGCACAGCACAGCGUGUUUGUCCUGGCCGCCCACCACCGCGCCGCGGUGGUGUCCAGCCUUCUGGGCAGCCCCCUGCCCUUUGACAGCCACACCUGCACCCUGUGGCGAGCACUGGCCUUGGAGCCCGGCCUCGCUGCACAGGUCUUGGGGCUGCUCCUGGAGAAGAUAAGCAGGGACGUCCCGUUCAAGGAGAGCCGGGCCUUCCUGCUGAGCAGCACGCCGGACCGCGUGGCCACCCUGCUGCCCCUCGCGGCCACCUGUGCACUGCACGAGGUCGCAUCUGCCCCGGCGUCAGGGCCAGCGGUGCUGGAGCUCUACCCCCAGCUGUUUGUGGCACUGCUGCUGCGGGUCAGCUGCACCAUGGGUGUCCAGCCGCCCCGGCACCUGCAGGCCAAGGAGAGGAGGAGCGCCAGCUCGGGCCUGGCUUCACGGAGCCUCGAGCCUUGCAGCUCUGCGGUGGAUGCGCUGCAGGCUGUGCUUAUCCGCAGCGGCAACGAGGACGUGGUGCAGCACAUGGAGCUGGAUGGGGGCUGGCAGCUGCUCAAGACCUCGGCUGGGCACGAGGAGGGCGUCACCCGGCUGGCCAGUGCCAUGGCCAAGUUUGCAGGCCCCCGGCUGCCCCUGGUGAUGAAGGUGCUCUUCGCCACAAAGAGCAGCGUGUAUGAGGUCCAGAGGAUCACCUCCACAGCCUUCCUGGCUGAGCUGCUCAGCAGCAACGUGGUGAACGACCUGAUGCUCCUGGAGUCGCUGCUGGACAACCUGAUGGCACAGCAGAAGGACACGAGCGCCCGCGUACGGAGGCUGGUGCUCCGCGGCCUGGCCAACGUUGCCUUGGGCUCCCCAGAUAAGGUACGGACCCACGGCCCCCAACUCCUGACUGCCAUGAUUGGUGGGCUGGACGACGGGGACGACCCACACAGCCUGGUGGCGCUGGAGGCCAUGGUGGGCCUGGCAAGGCUGAUGGACCUGGUAGACGCCUGGGACCUGCGUGCGGUGCUGCUGCACAUUGCUGUCCGCAUCCGGCCCUUCUUUGACAGUGAAAGGAUGGAGUUCCGCUCAGCGUCCAUCCGCCUCUUUGGGCACCUCAACAAGGCCUGCCGUGGGGACUGCGAGGAUGUCUUUCUGGAGCAGGUUGUGGGUGGCCUGGCGCCCCUUCUGCUGCACCUGCAGGACCCCCAGGCCCCUGUGGUCGCGGCCUGCAGGUUCGCCUUGCGCAUGUGCGGCCCCAACCUGGACUGUGAGGAGCUGGCAGCUGUCUUCCAGAAGCACCUGCAGGAAGGCCGCGGCCUGCACUUUGGAGAGUUUCUCAAUACCACCUGCAAGCACCUGAUGCGCCACUUCCCCGACCUGCUGGGCCGCUUGCUGAGCACCAGUCUGUUCUACUUCAAGAGCAGCUGGGAGGAUGUCCGUGCUGCUGCCCCCAUGCUCACAGGGUUCUUGGUGCUGCACGUGGAGGCUGAGCAGCGGCCACAGGUGGACCUGGAGCAGCUCCUCGCGGCGCUCCAGCUGCUGCUCAAGGACCCAGCCCCCGAGGUGCGUGCGAAGGCUGCGGAGACUCUGGGCCGCCUGGUGAAGUUCGCCUGAGUCUGCCCCAACACCCAAUACCGGCCU
rnacentral:lncRNA from 1 species